GGCAAGCAACUAUCUGAAAUGUUUUCAGAGCUUCUCUGGUGUUACAUGCAUAGUAAAUAUUUUCUUUAACUUAGAUGAAAAAUGUCUGCUUCCUCAACCAGGGUGAUGCAUUGAAUUGUGACACAUGAGGGAAUAUGGAACAUUUUAAAACACGGAAUAGAAAAUGUGUAAGAUACAUUAUCCUUCAACUCAAAGGGCUUUUACAGCAUAAUCUCAGUUAUUGUCAUACCUCCAAAUAUAAGGCAGGCCAAAUCAUCUCUGUUCUACCAGGAUCUAACCCAACCAGCCUCAGAGCCCACUGGAAGGAGUGGGAAGGGGAUGCCAGAAAGUCUGGGCAUGCAGGGGAAGUUGUGCCUGCUGAAGUCUGCCUGCUGGGUCUGUAUAGUGUCAGUGCCCUCACAAAUGCCAACUUCUUUUGACACAUUCUAUGCAGCUUCUAGAGGACUGGUUGAUACGGUGUGUAUAUUUAUUCUCUUUAAAUCUCACAGUGAAAUGUGAUCAGUGUUGGAGGGGCCUGGUGGCAUGUGUUUCAGUCAUGGUGGUGGAUCCCUCAUGAAUGGCUUGGUGUCCUCCCCACUGUAAGGAGUGAGUUCUCACUCUGUUAGUUCAUGGGAGGUUUGGUAAAAAGAGUCUGGGACUUUCCUCUCUCACACUUUCUUGCUCCUGAUCUUGCCAUGUGACACACCUGCACCCCUUCACCUUCCUCUGUGAUUGAAAGCUUCCUGAGGCCCUAACCAGAGACAUAUGCUAGCACCAUGCUUCUUGUACGGUCUGUGGAACCAUGGGCCAAAUAAAC
rnacentral:lncRNA from 1 species